GUGUCUUCCCUCUUUCCCAGGGGAGCUCACCGCGGACAUCAGGCAGCGCGCGGCGCAGCUCGGUACGCAAUUCCCAGCUUUCCCCCCCGCGGGGCUCCCCUCGGCCCUCCCGCUGCCGUGCCCGAGGGGCGAUUCCUGCGCUAGUCGGCUCUAGGAGGGGGGGUGCGAAGGCUGGGGUAAAGGGUGAUGUACAGAGGGGCCUGGGGGUGGAUCCUGCGGGACACGGUGGGAUAAGUGGUUAUAUAGGAGGAUAUAUGACAGGAUAGAUGAUUAUAUGGUAGGAUAUACAAUUAUAUGGUAGGGUGUCUGAUUGAUUGUAUGGUAGGGAAUAUGAUUGAUCAUAUAGUAGGGUAUAUGUUUGAUUAUAUGGUAGGGUAUAUGAUUAUAUGGUAGGAUAUAUGAUUGAUUAUAUAGUAGGUUAUAUGAUAGAAUAUAUAAUUAUAUGAUGGGAUACAUGAUUAUGUGAUAGAAGAUAUCUUUAUAUGAUAGGCUGUACAAUUAUAUGAUAGGAUAUAUGAGUGUAUGAUAGGAUAUAUAGUAGGAUACAUGCUUAUAUGAUAGGAUAUAUGCUUAUGUGAUAAGGUAUAUGAUAAGAUAUGUGAUUAUAUGGUAGGAUAUGCGGUUAUAUUAUAGGACAUAUGGUUAUAUAAUAGAAUAUAUGGUUAUAUAAUAGUAUAUAUGGUAGGAUAUAUGAUUAUAUGGUAGGAUAUAUGGUUAUAUGAUACGAUAUAUGGUUAUAUGAUAGGAUAUGUGGUAUGAUAUCUGAUUAUAUCGUAAGAUAUAUGGUUAUCUAAUAGGAUAUAUGAUUGUAUAAUACGAUGUAUGAUAGGAUAUAUGAUUAUAUGGUAGGAUAUAUGGUUAUAUGAUAGGAUAUAUAGUUAUAUGGUAGGAUAUACGAUAGGGUAUAUGGUUAUAUGGCAGGAUAUAUGGGUUUAUGAUAAGAUAUAUGAUUAUAUGAUACAAUAUAUGCUUUUAUGAUAGGAUAUAUGGUUGUAUGAGAGAAUAUAUGAUUAUGUAGUAGGAUAUAUGAUUAUAUGUUAGAAUAUAUGAUUAUAUAGUAGGAUAUAUGACAGGAUAUAUGAUUAUAUGAUACAAUAUAUAGCUAUAUGGUAGGAUAUCCCAUUCUGUGCUGGAUUCCAUAGUAGCCUCUAUGACUCCAUGACACCCUAGAACCGACAUUCCCCGAAUCCCGCUGCCGAGCAGCACCGGGGAUCGGGUCCCGGCUCCAGGAGGAGCCUUUGGCAGAGCUGGGCCUUGGGCUCAUUUCUGCCUCUUGCUUUGCUGUUUGCAGAGGAGCGGGACGUGGCCAUCUGUGAGUAUUCCCUGCUCCUGCCCCCGGCCGGGCUCUAUCCCGCUGCUAUUCCCAGGGAUGAGCUCAGGGCAACACGAGCUGCGGGCGCGGGAAGGGCAAGAUCCUGGCUGCCAGAGCAGGGACACCGGAGGGAGCACCAGCACUGGGAGGGGGGGGUCAUGGAUACAGCCGCUUAUCCCUCCUAUAAAUCCCAUUGGGAUACUUCCCGGGUCGUAUUUGGGGCUGCUGGAGCCUGGGUCUCACCCACAGGGUUCAUUGUGUGAGGCUCGAGGGGUUGGAAGCAGAAUGGGGAUGGGGAUGAAGUGUUCCAAGAUCCCAAGGGCUGCUCUGGGACAUGGUGCGAAUUCCUCGGGAUUUAUUCCCAUUAUUUCCUUUCUUUCAGUGGAAAAGGAAGCCGAGAUCCGGCACCUCAGGGAGCUGCUCGAGAGCCAGGAUUCGGGAAUCCAGGAGCAGAGGGAGCAGGAAGCUGAUGGAUCUUCUGAGGAGCUCGUUGGGAGCCAUUGCUCCUCAUCCCAUCCCUACGUGCCGUUGUGGAAGCCCUUUCCCAGGUUUCUUGUCAGCCCUUUAGGCCCUGGAAGCUUCCUGGAGCUUUUCCUUCUCCAUGUCUUACCUCUUUAUCCAACCCGUGCUAAUCCCUGCGCCCGGAAACCUGGGAUUGCUUUGGGAACGCUCGGGAACGGCCGAGCAACGUGCACUGACCGUUCCCUUUGCUUCUCUUCCCAGAGGAAUACAAAGCCAAAGCACGUGAGUGACCUCGGGAGCAGGCAGGGAGGAUCCGGGGGCGGAGGUGACGCUGGACCCGGCCACGGCGCACCCUCGGCUGCUCGUGUCGCGGGACGAGCGGAGCGUGCGGUGGGAAUACGGGCUCCGGGAGCCCCCCGGCGCCGCCGAGCGCUUCGCCGCCGCUCCCUGCGUGCUGGGCCGCGAGGCCUUCUCCUCGGGGCGGCACUGCUGGGACGUGGACGUGGGCCAGGGCCAGCACUGCGCCAUCGGCGUCACCCGCGAGUCCUGCCCCCGGCAGGGACCCGUCGCCUUCAGCCCCGAGGAGGGCACCUGGGCCCUGCAGCAAUGGGGCUUCCAGAGCAGAGCCCUCACGUCGCCUCCCGUCACCCUGAGGCUGCCGCGGGUGCCGCGCAGGAUCCGCGUCUCCCUGGAUUAUGAGUGGGGAGAGGUGAGGUUCUUCGACGUGGAGAACCAAGCGCCCAUCUUCACCUUCCCGCGCGCCUCCUUCCGCGGCGAGCGGCUCCGGCCGUGGUUCUGGCUGGAGCUGGGCUCCAUCUCCCUGCUCCGGUGACUGUCCCGGAGGGGCAGGAAGGAUGGAAGCACCUUGGGAGCUCCGGGACGUCGCUGAUGGAUGCUGUGGUCCUCCCCAUCCAUGUCUCACCGCCCUUUGGUGGCGCCUUUUCCAUCCCUGCGUGCUCCAAGAACCUUCAUCCGUGUCUCCCACCCACCCACCGUGGGGCACCCAACGGGUGCUUCCUGAUGGACAAUAAACCACUUGAGACUCUCCA
ensembl:lncRNA